AACGAACGCUGGCGGCAGGCUUAACACAUGCAAGUCGAACGCCCCGCAAGGGGAGUGGCAGACGGGUGAGUAACGCGUGGGAAUCUACCUAGUUCUACGGAACAACAGUUGGAAACGACUGCUAAUACCGUAUACGCCCUACGGGGGAAAGAUUUAUCGGAAUUAGAUGAGCCCGCGUAAGAUUAGCUAGUUGGUGGGGUAAUGGCCUACCAAGGCGACGAUCUUUAGCUGGGCUGAGAGGAUGAUCAGCCACACUGGGACUGAGACACGGCCCAGACUCGUACGGGAGGCAGCGGUGGGGAAUAUUGGACAAUGGGCGCAAGCCUGAUCCAGCCAUGCCGCGUGAGUGAUGAAGGCCUUAGGGUUGUAAAGCUCUUUCACCGAUGAAGAUAAUGACGGUAGUCGGAGAAGAAGCCCCGGCUAACUUCGUGCCAGCCGCCGCCGUAACAC
rnacentral:rRNA from 1 species